rnacentral:rRNA from 1 species
GAUGAAUGCUGGCGGCGUGCCUAACACAUGCAAGUCGAGCGGUAACAGGAGUAGUUUACUACUUGCUGACGAGCGGCGGACGGCUGAGUAACGCGUGGGAACGUGCCCCAAAGUGAGGAAUCACUGCCCGAAAGCGUAGCUAAUACCGCAUAUGAUCUUCGGAUUAAAGGAUUUAUCCGCUUUGGGAGCGGCCCGCGUCGGAUUAGGUAGUUGGUGAGGUAAUGGCUCACCAAGCCCACGAUCCGUAGCUGGUCUGAGAGGAUGAUCGGCCACACUGGAACUGAGACACGGUCCAGACUCCUACGGGAGGCAGCAGUAGGGAAUCUUCCGCAAUGGGCGAAAGCCUGACGGAGCAACGCCGCGUGAGUGAUGAAGGUCUUCGGAUCGUAAAACUCUGUUAUUAGGGAAGAACAAACGUGUAAGUAACUGUGCACGUCUUGACGGUACCUAAUCAGAAAGCCACGGCUAACUACGUGCCAGCAGCCGCAGUAA